CAAUGCCAUGUCGCCUUGUCUCCAUUUAACCUAGGUGUACCCUGCAAUGAUGGCAUCAGAAUCCAAGCACGCCCAAAGUUUACUGGCCCAGAACACGGGCAUUCUGAGGAGAAUGACCAAGAGGUGACAGCUGGAACUUACCAGACAGGCAGAUGGCGUCCUUCUGCAGCCAACAGGGAUUUGCAUCCCCAGAAUGCAUGCAAGAUAAGUUGAGGGUUACGACCCACAGAGGGGAUGGAAGUGGGGUGGUGGGUUGGGACUUUCUAGAAGGGGUUUUUGUGUCUGUUUUAGAGAUGGGGAUGUCCAAGAAGCGUCUCCUAUAGUCCACCUAAAGGGAAAGUGUUUCUUUUGAUCUCAGUGCUGAGGUGCACAGGGCAGAGCAGUUCCGGUGUGUGUCCUGUCACUUGUGUCUGGUGCACUCUUGGUUGUUUGGGUCUCUUGGUCUUUGCAGACCUUCUUGUGCAAACCUCUCUCUCCCUCUCCUGUCCUGUCGUUUGUCACGUCCUGUCCUGCAUCACGGGUGCCUGCACGUAUUUCUCCCGGAGCUGCUCUGCCCUGCUGCAUAGCCUGUAAUAGCCCAAUUCCUGGGGACUUGAAAUUUGUAAUGCAGGGUGUAGUUGCGCUCUAGAUUGUUUUAGGAGCUUGACAUAACAUGUUUGGUGCUGUUAAGUUGUCCUGCAGCCCUUUGACACUAGUCCUAACUUCUUUUCAGAUGCAGACAGUUCAAAUCAGUGGCAGAGGGCCCCAGCCUGGGGGCGGUUGUUGCCAUGAGCAGGGUAUUGUUUGUAUUUGCAGGCAGAGCUGAAAUGGUGACUGUGUUACAGCAGUGUUCUUUGCCUUUAAUUUUAGGAGGUCCAGGCAGAUAGCAGCAGUCAAGGCCAAGUGUCCAAGGGAAUCGGCUCGGAGUACGCAUACCUCUGUCACCAACUGGCUGAUGGACCAGGUUUCAUGCACUUGUGAUCUCGCUGGAAGUAUUACAGGACCCUGUGACGGAGCCUUCCAAUUUUGCAUUUCAAGGUCUCAUCUGGGUAGUCCCGAGGAAUGGCUGGGGAAUUGCAGUGAGUUGGGGGA